GUAGUGCAGGUAGUACAGGUGUACUAGUGUCCGGAUAUGAGGCCAAGGUGACACAGGUAGCUAUAGCCGCGUGAGGCGGCACGGGUAACGUGUAACUGCACGAGUUACAGGUGCGACACGGGUGUCUAUAGAGUAUUAAAGGUGGUUUGAGGGUAACAUGGUCAUUCGAGUCUUGACGGUUCAUCAACUCACUUCAAGACAUUAUAUUUUCUUUUGUUAAAUCAUGCAAUUAUGAAAUUUCCCUGUUUUCCUUGAGACAGGCAUGGACUUCAGGGAUGAUGCCGGGAAGAGAAUUCCUAGAGUCGGGCCAGGAUCCGGAUUCAGGAGGGAUGGAGAAGGGAGAAUGGAAGAAAGAUCGGGCACGUGCCCUUGUAUUUCAUGUAUACAUUUUUCCUGUAAUAAAAUGAUUGACCGUCGAAGGCCACUCCCAUA